CGUGGAAAUGAAAAACACUAGAUACUUUUUCUAGAAAUAUGGACUAAUGGAAGUUUAACCCCUAAGGAAGCACUUUAUAAGGCUUCUCGUAAUUUGAUUGAUUUAUUUCUUCCUUUUCUACACGCGGAGGAAGAGGGUGGAAAGCUCCUACUAAGAUUAGAAAUUCCCCGAUAA
rnacentral:rRNA from 1 species